GUGCCAGCCGCCGCGGUAAUACGGAGGGAGCUAGCGUUGUUCGGAAUUACUGGGCGUAAAGCGCACGUAGGCGGCUUUUUAAGUCAGGGGUGAAAUCCCGGGGCUCAACCCCGGAACUGCCCUUGAAACUGGAAAGCUAGAAUACUGGAGAGGUGAGUGGAAUUCCGAGUGUAGAGGUGAAAUUCGUAGAUAUUCGGAAGAACACCAGUGGCGAAGGCGACUCACUGGACAGUUAUUGACGCGGAGGUGCGAAAGCGUGGGGAGCAAACAGGAUUAGAUACCCUGGUAGUCCACGCCGUAAACGAUGAUAACUAGCUGUCCGGGUUCAUGGAACUUGGGUGGCGCAGCUAACGCAUUAAGUUAUCCGCCUGGGGAGUACGGUCGCAAGAUUAAAACUCAAAUGAAUUGACGGGG
rnacentral:rRNA from 1 species